UACGGAGGGGGCUAGCGUUGUUCGGAAUUAUUGGGCGUAAAGCGCACGUAGGCGGUUCGUUAUGUCGGAUGUGAAAGCCCUUGGCUUAACCGAGGAAGUGCAUCCGAAACUGGCGAGCUAGAGUACUAAAGAGGAUCGCGGAAUUCCCGGUGUAGAGGUGAAAUUCGUAGAUAUCGGGAGGAACACCGGUGGCGAAGGCGGCGAUCUGGGUAGAUACUGACGCUGAGGUGCGAAAGCGUGGGGAGCAAACAGG
rnacentral:rRNA from 1 species